rnacentral:lncRNA from 1 species
GGGCUUGGACAAUGGAAAUUGGGUAAUCUGUAAAUGGAAUGAUAGUUUGUAAAUUGUAAUGGGUUUCUUAACUCUAAUUCAUACAAAUUAACUAGUGUUUUAUAUUAUUCUUUUUAUUAUAAUAUAAUUUUUCUUAAGGUCGGUUUCAGAAGUUUUAGGGGUGGUUGAAAAAUUUUAGGGUGUGUUGUUGAAAAAUUUAGGGGGUGCGGUCGGGAAUUUUGCUUAUAUAUAACAUUAAUUUUUUUUUCUUUUCCAAGGUGGGUGCGUGCCACCCCGGACACCACAGUGGUUCCGCCCCCCGGAUACCACAACGGUUCCGCCCCUGGUACUAAGACUUGAUUCUACGUUAGCCAGUUGCAUUUUUCAAGCCUUUAUUAUCACUUGAUCUCUCAACGCGAUAAAUUGAUUUUGUGUCCAUAGCAUACAAUUAGUUUAUAUCCACUUGCAAUAUAUUCACUUUGCUUCAUCAGAAAUUGAUUUAAAGUUAUCUUGUUUUAAAGAUAAUUAUUGGUUUUGGUUUUAGUUUUAAGUUCUUUUCAAAUAAAUUCAGAUUUGAAAUUAGAUAGGUUUCGUGAUUCGUUAAGAGAUAGAACCAACAAUUUAUUCACUAUUCACACACACACACACACAUAUACAGACAUCAUUUUUGUUGUAUUCAUAAAAAGAAAUACUUGGAAGAUAUGAACAUAAUCCAAAGAUUAAGAUGCAGUUAUUUGUUUUCUAAGUAGUAACCCGAAUCAACAGAGCCGUCCUCGAAAACUCUCGAAAAAAUUUAGGCCUCGGGCGACGAAAAGAAUUGGGCCCAAAAUUAUGGUUAGGCCUCGGGCGACGAAAAGAAUUGGGCCCAAAAUUAUGGUUAAGGGUAAAUAAAUUACAAAAAUAAAAACUUAGUGAUAGAGCAAAAACUUGAACUUGAGACCUUUACAUUAUUUUGAGAUGGUUUUUGCCACUACACCACCAAUAUUUUUUUGCAUAGUAAAAGGAUGAAUAUACUAAAUAUAUAAUUUAAUAAAUAUAUACAAGUUUACAAAGAAUUUUCAGGCCCUUUGAAAUUUUGGGCCUCGGGCGUCGGCACGGGUUUGCCGGGCCCAGAGCCGGCCCUGCGAAUCAAAUGGCUUAUAAUUAUAAAUGUUAUGUUAUCUUUGAAGAAGUCAAUGGACACCAUAAUUCUUUCUUAGUUGUGAUCAUUGAUGAUCACAAGGUGCGGCUUUGAGGUAGAUCAUCUUACCGAUUGAUCGUAAAAAUAAACUCUGUCGUUCAUUUCUGUAUAGAAUUAACAUUUUUGCAAAAUGCAAAACUUGCUCAAGUGUUUGGAUAUAUGAUCAUGGGUUUGAUUACUUGUAAGGUUGUGUAUUAUGUUUGCUUUAUGAUGCAAGUUUUUGGGAGAGCUUGAAACACUUGGCUGAAGGCAUACAGGAUGACUGGAUCGUUUUCAAGGUGCAAAAUUAAAAGAAGAUGAAGGAAGUUAAUUAGUUGCUAAUGGAUGUGACCCUGAAAUUAAGGCAUGAGAAUGAUGAGAGGGAUGUUGGUGUAAUAUGUAUUAUGUUCUGUUUUUGGAAAACAAUGGGGGCUUGUUUUUUUGGACAGAGAAAUCUUGUAAAGAGAUUUGACCCACUUUUUGAUUAGAUUAGACAUGCAUUGAAUCAUGUGGAAUCAUAUGCUAUGUUUAGUA